rnacentral:rRNA from 1 species
CCUACGGGAGGCAGCAGUGGGGAAUAUUGGGCAAUGGGCGCAAGCCUGACCCAGCAACGCCGCGUGAAGGAAGAAGGCUCUCGGGUUGUAAACCUCUUUUCUUAGGGACGAAAAUGACGGUACCUCAGGAAUAAGCCACGGCUAACUACGUGCCAGCAGCCGCGGUAAUACGUAGGGGGCAAGCGUUAUCCGGAUUUACUGGGUGUAAAGGGCGUGUAGGCGGGAGGGUAAGUCAGAUGUGAAAACUUUGGGCUCAACCCAUAGCCUGCAUUUGAAACUAUCGUUCUGGAGUGUUGGAGAGGUAGGCGGAAUGCGGGGUGUAGCGGUGAAAUGCGUAGAGAUAAGGAGGAACACCAGUGGCGAAGGCGGCCUGCUGGACAAUAACUGACGCUGAGGCGCGAAAGCGUGGGGAGCAAACAGGAUUAGAUACCCCAGUAGUC